ACAUAUCAAUAAGCGGAGGAAAAGAAACCAACAGGGAUUGCCCCAGUAACGGCGAGUGAAGCGGCAACAGCUCAAAUUUGAAAUCUGGCCCCAGGCCCGAGUUGUAAUUUGCAGAGGAUGCUUUUGGCGCGGUGCCUUCCGAGUUCCCUGGAACGGGACGCCAUAGAGGGUGAGAGCCCCGUACGGUUGGACACCAAGCCUUUGUAAAGCUCCUUCGACGAGUCGAGUAGUUUGGGAAUGCUGCUCUAAAUGGGAGGUACAUUUCUUCUAAAGCUAAAUAUUGGCCAGAGACCGAUAGCGCACAAGUAGAGUGAUCGAAAGAUGAAAAGCACUUUGAAAAGAGGGUUAAACAGCACGUGAAAUUGUUAAAAGGGAAGCGCUUGUGACCAGACUUGCGUCCGGUGAAUCACCCAGCUCUCGCGGCUGGGGCACUUCGCCGGCACAGGCCAGCAUCAGCUUGCCGUCGGGGACAAAAGCUUCAGGAACGUGGCUCCUCUCGGGGAGUGUUAUAGCCUGUUGCAUAAUACCCUUCGGCGGGCUGAGGUACGCGCUCCGCAAGGAUGCUGGCGUAAUGGUCAUCAGCGACCCGUCUUGAAACACGGACCAAGGAGUCAACCUUAUGUGCGAGUGUUUGGGUGUUAAACCCCUACGCGUAAUGAAAGUGAACGCAGGUGAGAGCUUCGGCGCAUCAUCGACCGAUCCUGAUGUUCUCGGAUGGAUUUGAGUAAGAGCAUAUAGGGUUGGACCCGAAAGAAGGUGAACUAUGCGUGUGUAGGGUGAAGCCAGAGGAAACUCUGGUGGAGGCUCGCAGCGGUUCUGACGUGCAAAUCGAUCGUCAAACAUGCGCAUGGGGGCGAAAGACUAAUCGAACCUUCUAGUAGCUGGUUUCCGCCGA
rnacentral:rRNA from 2 species